GUGCCAGCAGCCGCGGUAAUACGUAGGGGGCAAGCGUUGUCCGGAAUCAUUGGGCGUAAAGCGCGCGUAGGCGGCCCGGUAAGUCCGUUGUGAAAGUCGAAGGCUCAACCUUCGAAAGCCGAUGGAUACUGCCGGGCUAGAGUUCGGAAGAGGCGAGUGGAAUUCCUGGUGUAGCGGUGGAAUGCGCAGAUAUCAGGAGGAACACCAAUAGCGAAGGCAGCUCGCUGGGACGAAACUGACGCUAAGGCGCGAAAGCGUGGGGAGCAAACAGGAUUAGAUACCCCCGUAGUCC
rnacentral:rRNA from 1 species